GUGCCUUCGCUGCUGGAACAGAGCGAUUUCUCGGGAGCGGCUUAUAAAGUGCCCCGUAGGAUGCAGAAGACUGCUGCAUCUCGGAACACGCUUUACUAUCGAAUGAUAAGGAACACUUGUCGUUCAUUAACUGUGGAGGGAAAUCGUUUCUGGUCCACGCACCUGUCUAUAUACGGCGCUGCAGCGUGCCUGCAUUGCUGAGUUGUACCGUGCAAGUGCCUUGCUGCAGGCGCGAAGAGAACGCCGCCUCCUCUGACCAGUGAUUUUCGUCAUAGAAAGCCUUUGGGGUUUCACGGCAAUGUCCGCACGAAGCACGAGACGAUUCGAUCGAGUCUUCGCCGGGCACCACGUCGCUGGACGCUCCGAAAGCAUGAGACCUGUUCGAACGCUGACCAAAGCGUUCAAGUCUCGACGCAGAGCGUGCUUGCGCGCAUGGUUGCAGGAGGAAUCACGCCAGAGCAGGGUGCUCACCUUCGAUAUCCUCGCGGUCUGACAACCGUGUAGCGUAUCAAACACAAUAUCUGGUGCGUCCGUCUCUAGCUCAUGCUCUGCCUCUCUGCCCGUUUCAUCAUCCUCCUGUGUUCUUCAUUCGCGGAUGUUGUCCUGCACGCAACGAUGGGCAUCGUACAGAAUCGAUGCCUUUGCUCGUUCGACGCUGCCCUCUAAUGAGCAGUAGUGCAGGAUUUUUGCGAUACACCAAUUCUAGCGCCAGAGGCUACCAAGAUACGAUACGACUCGUCGGACAUUUUCCGCUACAACGCAUUGAGCGAUUUGGAGGACGCACGCUUUUGGCGUCCGCACAACAGACACCGUUGCGUAUCCUAGCGGUGUCGUAUAGACUCUGGUUAAAGCUCCUCUGCAUGAGCCAUUUGGACGCUAAGGUACUCCCCGAAUAAAGCGUACAGACCAUGCUGCUUGGCCCCGUGCGGAGCCCAGUAUGUCGAGCCUAGCCCUGUCGCCGUCGUUUCUCUAGUUGGAAUGCGUGCCGGCGUCGAGCAGGCCUGUCUUGUCACUAUGGAGAUCGCUGGAAAAUAUGAGACGAUUCAUGUUGGUUCCAUUCUGGUUAUCGGUUCCGUCCUGUUGAUGCUGAGGUACGGCGACGACGAUGAUGCCCUGGCACCCGGGAUCCGUGCCCUCGACGGAUUCUCUCCCUCUCUCGCUCUCUAACCUGCACGGCCGAAAAUGGCUCUCGUUGCCCGACUCUGGCCAAGAUUUCAUAAAAUGCUUGCAGGUGAAUAUACCGUUGCUCUCCAUCGUAGUAGUGAACGUUGCUCCAUUAAGUUGGUGUAGAUGAGAGACCCUGAACGAGCUCUGCCAAUGCUCUUCGCGAAGUUGCUCGAAUUUUGCAUAGCAGGUUACAGAGAGAAGCACCGUCUUCUCCUUCUCCUACACCUGGACAUGUUGCAUGUAUGCUGUCAUUCAUCUCCAUAUCUCUUUCGCCCUGGCACGCAGAUGUCGCUAGAGGCUGGUUGGGCUGACGCUUGCCAUUCGUAGGAAUGCCGCGAAUUUUCCAAAAGCGCCGUUUCGUCACCUUCUUCGUCAUCGUCAGAGACUGGUUGGACUGACGCUUGCCACUCGUAGGAAUACCGCGAAUUUUCUAAAAGCGCC